GGGGGAAUAUUGGGCAAUGGGCGAAAGCCUGACCCAGCAACGCCGCGUGAAGGAAGAAGGCCUUCGGGUUGUAAACUUCUUUUACCAGGGACGAAGGACGUGACGGUACCUGGAGAAAAAGCAACGGCUAACUACGUGCCAGCAGCCGCGGUAAUACGUAGGUUGCAAGCGUUGUCCGGAUUUACUGGGUGUAAAGGGCGUGUAGCCGGGUCGGCAAGUCAGAUGUGAAAUCCACGGGCUUAACUCGUGAACUGCAUUUGAAACUGUUGAUCUUGAGUAUCGGAGAGGCAAUCGGAAUUCCUAGUGUAGCGGUGAAAUGCGUAGAUAUUAGGAGGAACACCAGUGGCGAAGGCGGAUUGCUGGACGACAACUGACGGUGAGGCGCGAAAGCGUGGGGAGCAAACAGGAUUAGAUACCC
rnacentral:rRNA from 1 species